AUGGCUGUCGUCAGCUCGUGUCGUGAGAUGUUGGGUUAAGUCCCGCAACGAGCGCAACCCUUGUCCUAUGUUGCCAGCGGGUAAUGCCGGGGACUCGUAGGAGACUGCCGGGGUCAACUCGGAGGAAGGUGGGGACGACGUCAAGUCAUCAUGCCCCUUACGUCCAGGGCUGCACACAUGCUACAAUGGCCGGUACAAAGGGCUGCUAUCCCGCGAGGGUGAGCGAAUCCCAAAAAGCCGGUCUCAGUUCGGAUUGGAGUCUGCAACUCGACUCCAUGAAGUCGGAGUCGCUAGUAAUCCCGGAUCAGCAACGCCGGGGUGAAUACGUUCCCGGGCCUUGUACACACCGCCCGUCAAACCACGAAAGUCGGCAACACCCGAAGCCGGUCACCCAACCACUUGUGGAGGGAGCCGUCGAAGGUGGGGUCGGUGAUUGGGGUUAAGUCGUAACAAGGUAGCCGUACCGGAAGGUGCGGCUGGAUCACCUCCUUUCUAAGGAGCUGUCAUCGUUUCAGAUCGACAUUUGUUGAUUUGGAACGAUCACUCCCAGUCGAUCACUGAUUAUUCGCAGUCAAGGCGAUCGUGGCCCCGGUUGAAUACGGCGGAGCAAUCCGUCGUCCCCGGACCCCACGCUCUCGAAUUGGCAAACGGGCUGUUCCUGUUCCGUUUUCAGAGAGUGGCGGCGUCGCGUACGCGCCCCUUGAGAACUCCAUAGCGAGCACGAGCAUCUGAAUCUCCAAGCUACAAAGAGCCAACGGUGGAUGCCUUGGCGCCUGAAGCCGAUGAAGGACGCGGGAGGCUGCGAAAAGCCACGGGGAGGUGCCUACCAACCUUUGAUCCGUGGAUGUCCGAAUGGGGAAACCCGG
rnacentral:sRNA from 1 species